rnacentral:rRNA from 1 species
AUUGAACGCUGGCGGAAUGCUUUACACAUGCAAGUCGAACGGCAGCACGGACUUCGGUCUGGUGGCGAGUGGCGAACGGGUGAGUAAUGUAUCGGAACGUGCCCAGUCGUGGGGGAUAACGUAGUGAAAAUUACGCUAAUACCGCAUACGAUCUAUGGAUGAAAGCGGGGGAUCGCAAGACCUCGCGCGAUUGGAGCGGCCGAUAUCAGAUUAGGUAGUUGGUGGGGUAAAGGCUCACCAAGCCAACGAUCUGUAGCUGGUCUGAGAGGACGACCAGCCACGCUGGAACAGAGACACGGUCCAGACUCCUACGGGAGUCAGCAGUGGGGAAUUUUGGACAAUGGGCGAAAGCCUGAUCCAGCCAUUCCGCGUGCAGGAUGAAGGCCCUCGGGUUGUAAACUGCUUUUGUACAGAACGAAAAGGUUUCUACUAAUACUAGGAGCUCAUGACGGUACUGUAAGAAUAAGCACCGGCUAACUACUUGCCAGCCGCCGCAGUAA